rnacentral:piRNA from 1 species
UGGAACUAGAGUUAUAGGUGGUUAUGAGU